AUGUGUUACGCAACAAUUUAUAUUAUUUCAUAGCGUGGUGUAGAUCUGAAUUCAAUUGAAAGAACUUUAAAUACGUAUUAUUUUUAAAUACUAUUAACGCUAUUAUGAAUUAAGUGGAAAUAUAUGAACAUUGCUCAAACGAUAACUUUAUAGUGGUUAAUUUUCGGUGAUCUGUGAUGCAGACCUGAUGUAGUCUAUUUCGUGCACGUGGUGAUUAAUAUUUGCUCUUCGGCUCGAGGUAUAUUGGCAAAUUCCGAAUAAAAUUGACCAUCGAAAAUAUGCGUACAAUUGAAAAUAGCCCAUGUUGGGCACUGCGGUGUGAAAUGGCAAUGACAAAUCUUUCACACUAUUUUUUUCUGAAUCCAGUUGGAGUUUAACUCAGCUCACCAACCUAAGACAGUACUACUCAUUAUUAUUAUUAAUGUAAAAUUCGGUCUAGAAAACAACCCGGAAUGCUCCGAUGGGAUAUUUUCACAUGAUAUUAUGUUUGAUAUUUAUAAUAUCAUUACUGCUUGAUAUCAAACUGGACCAAGUUCUUGGCAACGAGACCUACCCAAUUAUCAUCCUUUGAUUGACCAAAAUUCAGAAUAAUAGUUUCGACAAAACAACAAAUUUUGUUACAAUAUUCAUACACAUUUACAUUUGUUUAUAACCAUAAAUCUGAACCUGCAAUUGAUACAGAUGAUAAAAUUUAAAUUCUAUGUUUAUAAAUCAUGUAAUCUAUUUAUAAAUGUCAGUAAAACAC